AUGAACAGAUGUCACCAGGGCCUCCCACCUGCUGACACAGGCCUCCAGCACUUCCUCAUAGAAGUUUCACUGAGAUAUUUUUCAGAGUGCCUAGACAUGUCUCACGAGGACCCACACACAACCUUCUCUCCCAGUUCCCUGCCUGAGAAUACCCUCCCUAUACCUACUAUAUCCCAAGCAGGAUUGAAUCUCAGGGCUAUCAAAGCUGCAAAAGACAAGAGGUGUCAAAAUGGUCGAUCCCCUCCAAGAGUGCACCCUUACCUCCUAGCAGAGGGACACCUGAAGGCUGGGACACGCUCAGGAACGUCCACGCUCCAGGUGUCAAGAAUCCAUUUGCAGAGGUUGAGUAAUUUGCCUGAGAAUAUACAACAAAUAAAUCUGUGGGACUCCACAGCCCAACUUCCUUCCACAGAACCAGUAUUUCCAAGACAGGACCAGAGCCUGGCAUUGCUAGCAACGCUGUGCUUAUUAGCUGUGUGGGUAAGACCUUUAAGGCGCAGAGAGCAGUGCCUGGCAGCGGGCAAGCACUCAAUAACUGUUGCUGUGCAGAUGCUGUCCUUGCUGAGGAAGGCAGCUCAGUUUGUACAGGCGGAAAGGGAGGCUCAGCGCACAGGUUAAGAUGGCGCCAGGGCAUGUGUUAUCUUGACAGUUGCCUGGUAAAAAACCUGAUCCAAGAAAAAGAAAUGAAGGGGGAAGCCUGCUUCAACCAGAGCAACUGGCCCAGAUCUUUGAGCUGGCGGGGCCAUGUGAAGAUUCAAUGAAUACCAGGAGGGUUGAGAGAAGGCAGCAAGGAACAACAGGUAGGGGGAUACUGACUGGUGGUUUAAGUAACUAACUGUCUUUGUGCACCAGGCACAGGGUGUAGAGUCCCUCCUGUGGAGACCUCAGACCUCUCCUCAAUGUUAGCAGCAGCUCUUCAAGGCAUGCCUGAUAGAAAGAGACUGGGAAGAACACACACCAACCUGAUCACAGCAGUUAACUCAUGGCCAACAGGGAGGGCCCAGCUUGGGAGUAGUCACCAAUGAAGAUGCUUGCCUUGUAUGUAAUAUAUUUGUAAUAUGUUAAUAAAGUCAAAAUGCAAUACA
rnacentral:lncRNA from 13 species